UACCAUGUGAUUAAGGUGUUACCGGC
rnacentral:piRNA from 1 species